UACGGAGGAUGCAAGCGUUAUCCGGAAUCAUUGGGUUUAAAGGGUCCGUAGGCGGGCUAAUAAGUCAGAGGUGAAAGUUUGCCGCUCAACGGUAAAAUUGCCUUUGAUACUGUUAGUCUUGAAUGGUUGUGAAGUGGUUAGAAUAAGUAGUGUAGCGGUGAAAUGCAUAGAUAUUACUUAGAAUACCAAUUGCGAAGGCAGAUCACUAACAACUGAUUGACGCUGAUGGACGAAAGCGUGGGGAGCGAACAGG
rnacentral:rRNA from 1 species